rnacentral:rRNA from 1 species
AGUAACACGUAAACAACCUGCCUUCAGGAUGGGGACAACAGACGGAAACGACUGCUAAUACCGAAUAAGUUCCAAGGGCCGCAUGGCCCAUGGAAGAAAAGGUGGCCUCUACCUGUAAGCUAUCGCCUGAAGAGGGGUUUGCGUCUGAUUAGCUGGUUGGAGGGGUAACGGCCCACCAAGGCGACGAUCAGUAGCCGGUCUGAGAGGAUGAACGGCCACACUGGAACUGAGACACGGUCCAA